AUAUUGGUCAAUGGGGGAAACCCUGAACCAGCAAUGCCGCGUGAGUGACGAAGGUUUUCGGAUCGUAAAGCUCUGUCCUUGGGGAAGAUAAUGACGGUACCCAAGAAGAAAGCCACGGCUAACUACGUGCCAGCAGCCGCGGUAAUACGUAGGUGGCAAGCGUUGUCCGGAAUUAUUGGGCGUAAAGGGCGAGUAGGCGGCCAGUUAUGUCAGAUUUGAAAGGCUAGGGCUCAACCCUAACAUGGCAUUUGAAACUGAUUGGCUUGAGAGUAGGAGAGGGAAGUGGAAUUCCUAAUGUAGCGGUGAAAUGCGUAGAGAUGCGGAGGAAUACCGAUGGCGAAGGCAGCCCCCUGGGAUAAUACUGACGCUCAUGCACGAAAGCGUGGGGAGCAAAC
rnacentral:rRNA from 1 species